GGUAGUUAAGUCAGAAGUGAAAUCCAAUAGCUCAACUAUUGAACUGCUUUUGAAACUGAUUACCUAGAAUAUGGGAGAGGUAGAUGGAAUUUCUGGUGUAGGGGUAAAAUCCGUAGAGAUCAGAAGGAAUACCGAUUGCGAAGGCGAUCUACUGGAACAUUAUUGACGCUGAGACGCGAAAGCGUGGGGAGCAAACAGGAUUAGAUACCCUGGUAGUCCACGCCCUAAACGAUGUACACUAGUUGUUGUGAGGCUCGACCUUGCAGUAAUGCAGUUAACACAUUAAGUGUACCGCCUGGGGAGUACGGUCGCAAGAUUAAAACUCAAAGGAAUAGACGGGGACCCGCACAAGCGGUGGAGCAUGUGGUUUAAUUCGACGAUACACGAAGAACCUUACCUGGACUUGACAUAGUAAGAACUUUCUAGAGAUAGAUUGGUGUCUGCUUGCAGAAACUUAUAUACAGGUGCUGCACGGCUGUCGUCAGCUCGUGUCGUGAGAUGUUGGGUUAAGUCCCGCAACGAGCGCAACCCUCGUCAUUAGUUGCUAACAGUUCGGCUGAGAACUCUAAUGAGACUGCCUACGCAAGUAGGAGGAAGGUGAGGACGACGUCAAGUCAUCAUGGCCCUUACGUCCAGGGCUACACACGUGCUACAAUGGGGUAUACAAAGAGCCGCAAUACGGUGACGUGGAGCAAAUCUCAAAAAUAUCUCCCAGUUCGGAUUGUAGUCUGCAACUCGACUACAUGA
rnacentral:rRNA from 1 species